CUCAAAUUCAGUCUUUUUUUUUAUAGGCAAUCACUAGUUUUCUCUUCUUUUCUUACAAGGAGAAGAAGUACUGAAGUUCAGGACAAAGGUGCCAAUAAGGAAAGUCUCAAAAAAGACUUCUCCUUACAAAGAUAUGAUUCUAACAAUUUUGACCAGACUGUCUUGGGGCCCUACCUCUCAGGAACUGAGUGCUGGAAAACUUCCACUGGAAAAGAAAAAACAACCCCAAAACACACACCCUUUUAAAAGAGAGGAUAUCAGAAGUAUACAUCUUUUAUCCAUGCCCCACACACUUGCAUGUGAAGGGAGAGCACCAGCUGUUUUUCUCAUGGAGGCACUGUGGAAAACACACCUCUCAAUCUGGCACUCUUAACCAGGAUAACUGGUGAUGGUGACACAGAAAAGCAGCUCAUCACAGGUCCCCAGUCCUGCAUUUCUGUCAAGUAUUCUGUCUUCUCCUGAAGGUCUACUGUACAAAGUAAUUCUUACCAUCUUGCAAGGCUGAUCUUGGAGGCGAGUUAAACAUGUAGGUACCAAUUCUGAAAGCUGAACUCCUGUUGCAGGAGGCACCUGCUGUAUGGUUGGUUUAACAGGAGUUGUAUGGAGUAGCUGUCUGAACCUCAACUGGUUGCUCAAAGGGUU
rnacentral:lncRNA from 1 species